UUGCGGACGGGUGAGUAACGCGUGGAAAACCUGCCGUAUAACUGGGGGAUAACACUUAGAAAUAGUGCUAAUACCGCAUAAGCGCACAGCUUCGCAUGAAGCGGUGUGAAAAACUCUGGUGGUAUACGAUGGUUCCGCGUCUGAUUAGCUAGUUGGUGGGGUAAUGGCCUACCAAGGCAACGAUCAGUAGCCGGCUGAGAGGGUGAACGGCCACAUUGGGACUGAGACACGGCCCAAACUCCUACGGAAGGCAGCAG
rnacentral:rRNA from 1 species